CUGCUCAAUUCCAUUAUAGUAAAUAGCCGCAGUUUCACUGUGCUAAGGUAGCAUAAUAAUUAGCCCUCUAAUUAAGGGAUAGAAUGAAUGGUUAGACGAGGUUACGACUAUCUAACUUAAAACAAGAUAAACUAACACAUCAGUAAAAAUACUGAUAUUACAAAGCAGGACGACAAGACCCUGCUAGAACUCACCAUUUAGCUGGGGCGGCUCAACCAAAAAAACCUUGAUAAACAAUUACAAACAAAAACCUAAUAAAAUUAAUAUUAGUUACCUCAGGGAUAACAGCGCAAUUUCCUUCAAAAGCUCCAAUUAAAAAGGAAGAUUACGACCUCGAUGUUGAAUUAAUAACCUAAUCUUAGCGCAAAAGCAGAUAUAAGGUGGUCUGUUCGACCAUUAAACAAUU
rnacentral:rRNA from 1 species